UCGCGUGACCUCCGCAGUCGUGACAGUACUUUACAAUAAGCGUUAGAAACUUGAUUCUGGAAUAAACUGCAUGAGAUAUUAUACAGGUGAUGCUUCUGUGUAAUCAUUGGAAUAUUAAAGAUAAAAGUGGAACCAUUUUCUGAUGAGAGGCAGAAUGUUUUGUUGGAUAUUAAACUGAUCAAAAAUGAAGAUGAAACUUUCA